GACAUGGUUCACCCGAAAAUCACGCCACCUCUCCCAUUCUCUCUCUUGCACUCACCCAAAAAUCCCCACCCUCACGCCAACCACCCCCAACGCUGCCAACGCGCCGCGCCGCCGUCGCCCCGUCAUCCCUCCGCCGUCGCCCCGUCAUCCCUCCGACUCCACUUCAGCCGUCCCCUCCGCCGCGCCGGCCAUGCGCUCUUUGCGCAUCCUCUCCACUCCGAUGGCUCAGCGGAGCUCGGCGCCGUUCAUCGCCCACUGCCUACCCCUACCCUACCUGUGCAGUGUGCAGGUCGUGCCCGGAAUCCCCGUGUCGCACCCCCCUCCCCCUUCCCACAGGCGAUCAAGGCUCAGCUCGACUUCGAUGGGAUCCCUUGACCUCGGUGCCGCCCAGGAAGAUCGUCGUCACUCGCGGCGCCACACAAGAAGUUCGUCGGGCUUCCUGCUCCUUCCCUGUCGCAUGGGUCUCCUCGCCGGUGAUCUCCUCCCUUCUCACCCUCAGAUCGACUUGUUUGGAUCCCUGAAGCUGGGGUUAGUUCUAUGGAUAUUUGCUACUCCUGUUGAUAGAUGGAAUUUGCUUCUUCCACCCUUCAUGUGAUUGGUGGUCUGCCGACUGCUUCUGACGACUGAGUUGCUCUAUUGGCUUUCGUGAUUACGACUUACCGUCGUGCUGCGCCCUUCGAUUUGUUGGUCUCACUCGCCAUGGUGGUAAGCACAGGCACAUUGUUUUUUCUUUUAUCUUUCUUCAUGCGUUAAUUAUUAACUGAAACUUUGUUGUGCUAUGAGCCAAGGAGUCAACGAUAUUUCCUUUCUACAUUACGAUGCAAGUAAAGCUAGCAUAAUUUUCCUCCCAAUAUAUGGUUCAACCUUGAUGCUAACCCAAUGUGUAAUGUUGCAAAAUGCCUAACUCUGCAACAGUGCAAGAUAUGGUUCCACCGCUGGCCACGCUGGAGACGAGGUCGUCCCUCUUCCCCAUCGGCCACAGAUGGAGCCGACGUAAAGAGUAAUAGGUAAACGGGAGGCAGGGCAAAAAAAAGAAGAUCAUUCUAUAUGCACAAAAUUUGAAGAAGAUCAUUCUAUAUACACAAAGUUUUACUGCUUAGACGUUAUUAGAAAACAUAACUUGGGAAAAAGGAGUAGGCUUGGCAAUUAUGUAUUUCAAUAGUUAUCAGAAAUUUUAAUCGAGGAUAUAUAUAUAAAAAAGAAUGAAUGUUCAUCGAAUCAGAGUUGAUGGCUUGACAGGGUCGAGUUAAGUUUAACACAUCCAUGUAUAGAUCAUUCUGCUUGCCACUUUGGAUUGAUGUCGUCUGCACUUUAUAUGACCUUUGGAACGGUAGUCUGCUUCGGAGACCAGGGAAUGGUACCCAUCUCUCUACUGAAAAAAUUUCUGUGACUGUUUUUCAUUCUGUUUGGACCAUACACAACCUUUUUAGUUUAAGUGGAAAAGUAAAUCAAUUAUUGUGUCAAUAUUUUGGUCACCUGUGUAUAUCUUGAGGUUUAUAUAAGGUCACCUGUUUAUGUCUUGAGAUUUAUAUAGAUUUAGGCCAAUGUGUACAUCUUCAGAUUUGGAGUGAAUAAAACUUUGCAAUAUCCAUGUAUAUGCCUCUCAUCAAAUAAAGCUAUUUGUUUUGUAAGUUACUGAAUACUGAUGGCACAAUUUUAAUUUUUACUCCUUGGUAUGUCCAGUGGUGGCAGCUCGAUGGCUCACAGGAAAAGCAGGGGAAGAGGAAGGGCGCAAAGAGACAGGGAAAGUGGACUGUGAGCUAUAAUUAGACAGUGUAUGCACCUUUUUUUUCCAUGAAUUACUGACUUAAAUGGACUAAUAGUUGGGUGUCACAUUGUAUAUUACAAUAGAUAUUAUAUAUUAUUUCCUGUGAUAUAUAUUCCAAAACAUGCUCUCCAUCGACUAAUCACGGGCUUGCUCAUAUGAGUCAUUAUAGUUCUGCUAUUUUGAUCUGUUUGAAAUCUACCUCCAUGAGAAUUAUGCUAGCCAUGGGCUAUUGUAUUCCUCCCUGUAAUGCAGUUCUACAAAUAAGAAUAUGAGAAAUUGAUGACAUAUUUAUGUGCAGUGUCCUAUUGUCCUAUAGGGCAUUCAUAUGGAGCUUUGGAAUUUCUGUUAAUGGAGGCAGAGACAAAAAGGAGAAGACUGUUAUAUGAAUUUCUUCCUUGAAUUUUGUUUCUAUGCAGUAGAAUAUGGAAAUAAGAUUCACUUCAAACUUUUCAAUAAUUUAGUACACUUUCCUGCAGGUAAACAUGCAUUAUGAUAGAGCCUAAAGCUGGUGGGACACUUAUUUCCAUCGUCUACAUGAUAAUUUGAUCAUGCACAUGAGUUGUCCUCUUGCUAUGAACAACUGAUAGAGCCCAAGAUAACCAGUGAUCAUCUUGACUGAUGAACUAAUUUCAAUAUGUGUAUGUAUGCAGGUGGCCACUGAUCGGUGCCCCUUGGCCUAUUGCAAUGGAUAAUGUUGUUGGAAACUCUACACCAAAUCCAUUUGCAUGAACAGGUGAUGCACACCAAUUCCCCUUGGCCUACCCAGUGACAUGCACUGGAAUCUUAGCAAUUAUCUGAUCCUUAUUAAUUCAAAUGCAUCACUGCGUAUUCUAUAACUCUGUAACAUCAUGACAACUUGGGCUUUGAUGAUUGGGGAUACUGUCAGUAGGAGAAGAAUCACCAUCACCACAAAAUCCACUUUCAUUGCACUCUGGCGUGGACAAUUGUAUAGACAUAUGGCUGCAAGUGAAGGGAGAGAUCAAUUGUUGUACUUUAAAGGCUUCAGAUACAACAAAUCAUUGCCUUAUAAUCUCUUUCGGUGGUGUUCGCAUUUCAAGAAUCAUAUAAAUGUAUUUUAAAUUUUGUAUAAAAAGAUCAGAUUGUAUGAAGAUAACCAUUGUGCUAUUAUUAAAGUUGUCAAUUCAAAUCUAUAUUCUUUA